CUACCAUGGCGUUUACGGGUAACGGAGGAUUAGGGUUCGAUUCCGGAGAGGGAGCCUGAGAAACGGCUACCACAUCUAAGGAAGGCAGCAGGCGCGUAAAUUACCCAAUCCUGACUCAGGGAGGUAGUGACAAGAAAUAACGGACCGGGGCCUUACGGCUUCGGGAUUGCAAUGAGCCGAAUUUACACCCCUUAGCGAAGAUCGAUUGGAGGGCAAGUCUGGUGCCAGCAGCCGCGGUAAUUCCAGCUCCAAUAGCGUAUAUUAAAGUUGUUGCAGUUAAAAAGCUCGUAGUUGGAUUUCUGGGAGAGUGGCGAUGUCCGCUUAACGUGUGUGCAGCGACGCUCUUCUAUCCUUCUGUUAGCGUCUCUUGGCAUUCAUUUGCUGGUGGCGGGCUCAGAUAUUUUACCUUGAGAAAAUUAGAGUGUUUCAGGCAGGCUAGGCCGGAAUACAUUAGCAUGGAAUAAUGGAAUAGGACUACGGUCUCUUUGUUGGUUUGAGGGACUGCAGUAAUGAUUAAUAGGGAUAGUUGGGGGCAUUAGUAUUUAAUUGUCAGAGGUGGAAUUCUCAGAUUUGUUAAAGACUAACUUAUGCGAAAGCAUUUGCCAAGGAUGUUUUCAUUAAUCAA
rnacentral:rRNA from 1 species